CACCUGUCCCGAUGUGUAAUACCUGCUUCUAAAUGUCUCAGUUUCGUGUUUUCCUUCUGUGCCACUUUGUCCUCAAGUUUCUUUAGCAUACUAGCAUAGUGUUUCUUUGGAGUUAUGUAGAUGUAUUAUUUAUACCUAUCUAUCUAUAUCUAUUUUUUUUUAACCUUACGUUUACGUUAGCCUUCGUGUUUUGUACGUCUGACAGAUUGGGCAAGGAUUAAUGCUGUUACUGUGCACGACUGUGAAUUGUAUCCGUCUUUCACCCAACGUACAAUGGUUCCUACAUACUCGACAUCUUAUCCACGCUACAGGGUCAAACUACUGCUGCCAUCCGUCCCAGAGGAAUCACACCACCACAAUCAAUGGAAUUCUUCAUAACUGAUAUGGUUAAAAACAGACGACCCCCUCAUGACCAGAUUAGACGCUUAUUGGCCCCCAGGUCAUUUGACUUUGACGCC